rnacentral:lncRNA from 1 species
CUUUGCUGCUUGCUGUACAGACCGAUACCACGCUGGCUGGCUAGGUUGCUCUGCUAGCCAAGAUGUAUCUGCCUUCAGCUGGGCUGGAUUCAGGCUUCAGGUUUUGUCCAGGUCCACUGCAACAGCCUCAGUUUUGCUGUGUCUAUGGCAUGUCUGUAGCCUAAGGCAUACUUUCUGCAUGGUGAUGGCAGAAGUAGAAGGUGAAAUCUCAUUGGCCCAAGGCUUCUCUGUAUGGGCUAGUUGGAGUUUCCAAACAGCUUGGUGGACUGAGAAUUGUCACACUGUGCACAAGGCAGGGUACAACUCUUGCACAGUUGUAGCCAGAGAACCAACUAAAGGUACCCAUAUUCUACCAUGAGCCUUGGGAAUUGCCCAGCAUUACUUCUUCAGUGUACGCUGGAACAACUGUAAACCUGCCCAAUUUCAAUGGGAAGGAAUGUGGAUUCCAACUCUCAAAGGUAUAGAUCAACAAUGCUCACUUUACAUCUGUGAUUACAGCUCAGACCACUCAGACAGAUGGAUAAGAGCAAAGUGUAAUCGAAAGCUGGCCCUUCCUCCUGCAGCCCUUUCAUUUAGAGAUCUUCUGGACACUGGCUGUAGUUCAUUAACUCCCUCCUCCUCAAGACACCAUUACUCUCUGCCCUGGACAUAAUCAACAAAGGCUCAGGGAGAAUGAGCAAGAGGCUGAGGUGGAGGCAUUAGCUGCCAGAAGCGCAACUUGAAGACCCAAUUCCCCCGAGGCCAGGUGUAAGGGACUGGGCUAGCUAUUCCAAAUUGCUUCCCAAGAGCCAUGAACCAGACUCACUGAACUCCAACCCUUUCUGAGUCUGCCUCCAACUAGUCACACCUGAUGUAUUACUGCCUCCCACUCCUCUUUUCUUUCUUUGUUUUUCUUUUCUUUAAGAGUUAUCAUGCCAUUUUCAUCCUUUGCUAUCUGGAAAGCAAGUAUGUUAUUUUUUAAAAAGUACAGUAUAGUAUUUAUUUGCAAGCAUAUCAUUGGAAACAACAAGUCUGAUCAUAACUAAAGUAUUUUCUCAUAGUAAUUCAAAGCUACUAUUAUAGACACAAACUCAUCACAGAUGUGAUUACCUAAGAUGAGAUGAUGGUAGUAGGGGUCACUCAUCCAAUAUGACUGGUGCCUUACAAAGGAGAAACUGGAACACAGGCAUGAGCACAGUGAGACCACCAAGGGAAGAGAGAAGGCAGGCUGCUGUAAGCCAAGGAAUUACCAGAAGCCAGGAGAGCUGGUGCCUGCCAAGAAAACAUGGCUCUGCUGAGACCUUGAUUUUUGGGCUUCUGGCCUUUACAACUAAAACAAUACGUUUCUGUCACACUAAACCACCUGGUUUGUGGUACUUUUGGAUACUUUGGAAACCCUCAGAAACCAAAAGUCAGCCUGUCUGCAAAGCUCCCAGCCUUCAUAACUUCACCAUUCCCCAAGCCUGCCUGCUUAGAGUCUAAGAAAGUAGAGUGCACUGAGUGAUGGGGAGAAGCUGGGCAUCUGGCAUGUUGUUCUGUAGUGGGGGGAGGGGAGAAGGGGAAGAACAAAGGGAGAGAGAGAGACUUUGGCACGGCCUGACUGUGGUUCAGGUCAGGCCUUGGCAGGGCAAUGCAGGAAGGGACAGGAUGAGACUCAACCUUUGUGGUCCUUCCAGCUCCUUGAUGCAGAGGCCCCAUUUGUCCUUCUAUGUGAGCCCCUGAACUGCUGCCACCUCCAAAUGAAGGACACAGACAUGCAGGAGAGGGAUAUGGCUUCCAAGUUCCCUAGCUCCCAGCCUGCCUGCCUCACUGAAGACAGAUGAAGAAGCAGAUGUAGGCUAGGAGGUGAGCAUCAGGCUUCAUGUGGCAUCUCCUGCAGAGCCUUGACUGACAUGAAAGGAGAUGGGUGAGGACUUCAGGUAAUACUGGCAGCCAUCCCACUGGAAAACACAAACACAUCCAUCUGAACAUUUGCAAAUAAAAUGGGGGUCUCUGGUGUACAGCAGCAUGAACAUGCUGAGUAUGGGACUCUGAUGGGAGGACUAGAAGCUGUUGUGCCUCAAAGCACAAGUGACACAUUGUUCAAUUCCUUCCACUACCCACCCAAAAGUAAAAAGGACUUCUGGCUGCAUGGGUCCUGUCUCAUUCUUCUAUCAGUCCUGUUUCUCCAGCCUCUCUUUCAGCCUGCCUCAGUGGACACUUCAGGCCUAAAGCUCUGAAUGUAUGGGAAGGCUGUGUGGUCAUGAGAAACAGCA